UACAAGAGAGCAAAAGAGGGUUUCUCUUUGAAACCCUAAACUCACGAAAUUUCAGUAAAUCGAAGGGAAAUCGAGCUAGAAAAUUUGGGGCUUUUACUAAAAUUGUGAUCACCAAGCUUAGAGAAUCAAGAGUUUGACUCUGACAAGCUAGGUAGGAGCUUGGAAAUGAACGGGUCAAAUGGAUACAAGUUCAAGUAUGAAGCUCGCAAGGAUGCAAGAAAUAGUUAUCGAGUGGAUAAUUACAUCGCUACACUUAGCGGCUAUUGAGGCAAGGUAUUUAAAUGGGUCAAUAUAAUGAUCCGAGCCAGGUACGCAUAAUAAAUUAACUCUCAUUUAAACGUAAGGUUUAACGAGAGUUAAUCGGAGUCUAAAAUAGAAUUCGGUUACUUUAAUAGGUAAACCGAAUGUUACGAACGAUGGUCAUUACGUUUGAAAGGUCUAAUCUACUACUUCUAAUAAAGCAAAAUAAGCUUAAGCCACAUGGCAUUAGCUUAAGCCAUUACUUGCCACGUGGCAUUUGCUUAGACCACUUUUUUUGCUUUUUCCGCCAAAACCAUCCUCCUUAGCUUCUUUAAUACGCUUCACUUCACUCCAAAACCCUAAUACCCAUCUCCUGCAUCUGGUUCUUCCUUCUUCAUCGAUUGAUCUUCGAAAAACAUAGAUUUCUUCAUCUUCAAUCGCGAGUGGAAGCAAACAGUCCUUAUUAUGCGGCGUAUAAGGUAUGUAUCCGUGUUUUUAAUUUUCUUUUUGCGGCGUUGUUGGUGUCUGGAAGACCUAGCCGCCGCCUCUUCUUAGGGUUUAAGUGAUUUCUAACUUAUGCAUUCAUCAAUACCUAUAUUCAUUUCUUGAGUGCUUCUGUGAUAUUUUUCAAGAUUUGGUGCUUUUUGAAAGAUGGGAUCCAUCACUGUCUUCUCCAAACAAUUCAACAAAUAUGUAACAAUUCUUCAAAUAUCGAUUCAUGUUUGAUAAUGUCGCUUCCUGUUUGAUGUUCUCUAUCAUAUGUUCAUCUUUAGGUUUUCCUAUUAAAUUCACGUAUUAAAGUAGAUUUUGAGCAAUUAUCAGAGCUGACGUUGUUUGCUGACACUAUUACAAUUCAAAAAUUGGGAGUGAUGAUUUGGCAUACCAGAAAGGUCCUUUAGAGAGCUGAUCAUUCUUCCAAUCGAUUGCAAGCAGAUCAUUCCACUUAUUCUGCAG